CCGGUAUGCCAUAUGUGUUUGAGCCGGAGUCAUAUCUCAAAUUUAUAGCCAUGGAGGAAAACCAGGACCCCAGUUCAAGAAUCAAAGGUCCUGCAGAAGCUGUCCGAAUGGUGUGGAAACACAGCCGUCGGAUUAAUCUCCCCUUGUUGAGUCACAAAGCCGCUGAAAGCUGUCUGCCCGGGACCGGAGUGCUCAUUGAAAAGCAGAAGAGCAUACGAAAGGGAAGACGACCGUGAGGACGCCAGGCGAUCCCAAACGUCAGGAAAUGCCUCAUUCUUCAAGCACCGUCGCAUCCCUCUGAAACAACCAGAAAAAAGUCUAACAAAGACUUGAAUACACAACCCUUGAACUUUGAGCUUUGACCUGUUUUUUUUUAGUU